UUCACGUUAAGAAGUCCAGCUGGUCAUCCCCAGCAAAUAUCAGGUCUGUUUGUGGGCUCUCCUGCAGAGAAGCUCGUUUUCGGUAGACACUGUCCUACUUACUCCUUUCUGGAUGGAAGCUACCUAUUCACCAGCGCUCAGUUUGGAUUAAUUCAAAGCUAAUAUGUUCAAAAAAAGGUAUGUUUAUUUAAUCCAGGUUUCUUCAUGGCAUGCCCUCUUGAGAAGCGAAGAAUCAGUCGAACGGACAAAAAAAUUUGAAGUAAACCAAAAAGCUGUUAAAAUGAAUUUGGAAGGAUUUCCCCCUGGCUGGAUGAUAAAUAUUCUAAGGACUCCAGUUCUACAUAUUUACAGCAAUAUUACAACUGUUCUGGUAUGCAUUGAAAAAUGGGAGUGUAAAAUGCAUUGUAAAAAUAAAG